rnacentral:piRNA from 1 species
UACAGAGUGAGUUCCAGGACAGCCAGUU